AAAGACCAUUUAAAUUAUCACUGUCAUCCAUUUCAGUGAGGUCUAUGUGCGUGUAUUAUUUACAGAUCAUUCUUCAAACUGCUAAUAAGUUGGGUACGGUCACGGGAUCGAGAGAUAAGAUCUUCUCACGCAGCCCGUGGAAGUCGAUGGGGUUCGGUGGUGUGCUCUUACCUGCAAGCUUUGCUUUGCUUCUGAGUCACUUUGACUUCAGAUUAGCCAUUACCUUUUGCAGUCCCAAGGCAACUGCAUCUACGUGGUGGGGUCUGCGAGGAGGGACGCUCUGCGAAACACCCUUUGGACCCAGUGGCUCUAAAGAACUUGUGAAUUGGAUGAAGUGCUGUGAUUCCCCAGCAGGGCAACAGAGAAGACCUACGGCAGCUUCUUAUCAUCUUCACUGGCAUCUUUCCCUAAAAGACAUUAAAUGGUUUUUUUUAUUGUUUUGUUUUGGUUUUUUUUUUUUUUUUUCCCAGAACUGGUUGUGGUAACAGUGCAGGAAUGCAAAUAAACAAGUAAAAGUCAUUCUAAUCA
rnacentral:lncRNA from 1 species